rnacentral:rRNA from 1 species
GAUGAACGCUGGCGGCGUGCUUAACACAUGCAAGUCGAACGAUGAAGCCCAGCUUGCUGGGUGGAUUAGUGGCGAACGGGUGAGUAACACGUGAGUAACCUGCCCUUGACUCUGGGAUAAGCCUGGGAAACUGGGUCUAAUACUGGAUAUGACUUCUCAUCGCAUGGUGGGGGGUGGAAAGAUUUAUUGGUCUUGGAUGGACUCGCGGCCUAUCAGCUUGUUGGUGAGGUAAUGGCUCACCAAGGCGACGACGGGUAGCCGGCCUGAGAGGGUGACCGGCCACACUGGGACUGAGACACGGCCCAGACUCCUACGGGAGGCAGCAGUGGGGAAUAUUGCACAAUGGGCGCAAGCCUGAUGCAGCGACGCUGCGUGAGGGAUGACGGCCUUCGGGUUGUAAACCUCUUUCAGUAGGGAAGAAGCGAGAGUGACGGUACCUGCAGAAGAAGCGCCGGCUAACUACGUG